rnacentral:rRNA from 1 species
CCUACGGGAGGCAGCAGCUAAGAAUCUUCCACAAUGGACGAAAGUCUGAUGGAGCGACACCGCGUGAUUGAAGAAGGUAGAAAUAUUGUAAAAAUCUUUUUGGGGAGCUUCGUUAACCUAUGAAUAAGCCCCGGCUAAUUACGUGCCAGCAGCCGCGGUAAUACGUAAGGGGCAAGCGUUGUUCGGAAUUAUUGGGCGUAAAGAGUACGUAGGCGGUUCUAUAGGUCUCUUGUAAAAGACCACGGCUUAACUGUGGGACUAUGGGAGAAACCGGAGAACUAGAAUUUUCUAGGGGAAGCUAGAAUUCCUGGUGUAGGGGUAAAAUCUGUUGAUAUCAGGAGGAAUACUCGUGGCGAAAGCGAGCUUCUGGGAUAAUUGACGCUUAGGUACGAAAGCAUAGGUAGCAAACAGGAUUAGAUACCCUUGUAGUC